UGGAAGUAAAAGUCGUAACAAGGUCUCCGUAGGUGAACCUGCGGAGGGAUCAUUACACAAAUAUGAAGGCGGGCUGGAACCUCUCGGGGUUACAGCCUUGCUGAAUUAUUCACCCUUGUCUUUUGCGUACUUCUUGUUUCCUUGGUGGGUUCGCCCACCACUAGGACAAACAUAAACCUUUUGUAAUUGCAAUCAGCGUCAGUAACAAAUUAAUAAUUACAACUUUCAACAACGGAUCUCUUGGUUCUGGCAUCGAUGAAGAACGCAGCGAAAUGCGAUAAGUAGUGUGAAUUGCAGAAUUCAGUGAAUCAUCGAAUCUUUGAACGCACAUUGCGCCCUUUGGUAUUCCAAAGGGCAUGCCUGUUCGAGCGUCAUUUGUACCCUCAAGCUUUGCUUGGUGUUGGGCGUCUUGUCUCUAGCUUUGCUGGAGACUCGCCUUAAAGUAAUUGGCAGCCGGCCUACUGGUUUCGGAGCGCAGCACAAGUCGCACUCUCUAUCAGCAAAGGUCUAGCAUCCAUUAAGCCUUUUCAACU
rnacentral:misc_RNA from 1 species